GAGUUUGAUCCUGGCUCAGGACGAACGCUGGCGGCGCGCCUAACACAUGCAAGUCGAGGGAGAAGCCUACUUUCGGGUGGGUGGAGACCGGCGAACGGGUGAGUAGCACGUGAGGAACCUGCCCUGAGGUUUGGAAUAACCAGUGGAAACGUUGGCUAAUGCCGAAUAUGACUGCCGGCUGCAUGGUUGGUGGUGGAAAGCUUUGGCGUCUCGGGAUGGUCUCGCGGCCUAUCAGAUGGUUGGUGGGGUAAUGGCCUACCAAGUCGACGACGGGUAGCUGGAGUGAGAGCUUGUACAGCCACAUUGGGACUGAGACACGGCCCAGACUCCUACGGGAGGCAGCAGUGGGGAAUCUUGCGCAAUGGACGGAAGUCUGACGCAGCGACGCCGCGUGUGGGAGGAAGGCCUUCGGGUUGUAAACCACUUUCGGGAGGGAAGAAGCGUUUUGUGACGGUACCUUCAGAAGAAGCCCCGGCCAACUACGUGCCAGCAGCCGCGGUAAUACGUAGGGGGCGAGCGUUGUCCGGAAUUAUUGGGCGUAAAGGGCUCGUAGGUGGUUCGUUAAGUUAGAUGUGAAAUUGUACGGCUUAACCGUGCACUGGCAUCUGAUACUGGCGGGCUUGAGGCAGGUAGAGGAGAAUGGAAUUCCUGGUGUAGCGGUGGAAUGCGCAGAUAUCAGGAGGAACACCGAUUGCGAAGGCAGUUCUCUGGGCCUGUGCUGACGCUGAGGAGCGAAAGCGUGGGGAGCGAACAGGAUUAGAUACCCUGGUAGUCCACGCUGUAAACGAUGGAUGCUAGGUGUGGGGCUUUAUUGUGGGUUCCGUGCCGUAGCUAACGCAUUAAGCAUCCCGCCUGGGGACUACGGCCGCAAGGCUAAAACUCAAAGGAAUUGACGGGGGCCCGCACAAGCGGCGGAGCAUGUGGCUUAAUUCGAAGCAACGCGAAGAACCUUACCAAGGCUUGACAUGAUGGAUUAUCGGCAGAGAUGUCGUGUCCUUUUUGGUUUCAUCACAGGUGGUGCAUGGUUGUCGUCAGCUCGUGCCGUGAGGUGUUGGGUUAAGUCCCGCAACGAGCGCAACCCUUGUUCUAUGUUGCCAGCAUUUGGUUGGGGACUCAUGGGAGACUGCCGGGGUCAACUCGGAGGAAGGUGGGGACGACGUCAAAUCAUCAUGCCCCUUAUGUCUUGGGCUGCACACGUGCUACAAUGGCUGGUACAGCGGGUUGCGAUCUCGUGAGGGUGAGCGAAUCUCGUAAAGCCGGUCUCAGUUCGGAUUGGAGUCUGCAACUCGACUCCAUGAAGGCGGAGUCGCUAGUAAUCGCGAAUCAGCAUUGUCGCGGUGAAUACGUUCCCGGGCCUUGUACACACCGCCCGUCACGUCAUGAAAGUCGGUAACACCCGAAGUCAGUGGCCUAUCCGUUUGGGGGGAGCUGCCGAAGGUGGGAUCGGUGAUUGGGACGAAGUCGUAACAAGGU
rnacentral:rRNA from 1 species